UACGGGGGGGGCAAGCGUUGUUCGGAAUUACUGGGCGUAAAGGGCGCGUAGGCGGCCAACUAAGUCGGAUGUGAAAUCCCCAGGCUUAACCUGGGAACUGCAUCCGAUACUGGAUGGCUUGAAUCCGGGAGAGGGAUGCAGAAUUCCAGGUGUAGCGGUGAAAUGCGUAGAUAUCUGGAGGAAUACCGGUGGCGAAGGCGGCAUCCUGGACCGGCAUUGACGCUGAUGAGCGAAAGCUAGGGGAGCAAACGGG
rnacentral:rRNA from 1 species